rnacentral:lncRNA from 1 species
UGCAUGUGUUCAGACAUGCCUAAAGCUACUAUCCAGCGGUGGGCUGUCACAUACAGCUAGCCAGUAACAGCUGUCAGUAAGAGGAACAGUAACGCUGCGACUAAAUGUGUCCUGGCGUAGAUGAACUUUAGUCAAGGUGGCUGGCGUUAACUUUUCGUAUGCCACACACUUUAAGGAUUUUAAUUUGGAUCACUUCAUGGCCAAAGACAAUCCUGCGGUUUUCCUGAUUUUCAAAGCGCCGGUGCAGACUCCGUUCGGGGCUGAAGUGCCACCCAUCUCCCUGCCUCUCUGAACCUGGAAGAGCAACGCCGCCUUGUGACGAGCAUCCAACAUGACAGGUGGGCAACACUAAACUAUUAAACACAUGUGCUUUAGUCAAGGUGGCUGGCCUUAAGGCACUGUUUAGUACAUUAAAAGUAGUUGUAUGAGCAGCUCAAUCCAACUCUACAAUAGAUCACAGCUGACUGCGAAAAUAUAUAGUGAGAGGAGAUUUGUGUGUUGUGUGUGUGUGUAAUGUGCAGAAAUAACUCACCAGACAUUUUGCCUGUGUAGGCAUCUGCUGAUGGCUACAUUCCUUGA